ACCUCUUGCGUGCGCCGCGCAUUCCGAUCGAGUUUACGUCCGGCGACCACGCUGCGGACCCUGCCGCCUCUUACACUGCCAUCGAAUUGUUAUUUAAAUACCGUUCCUGGAGCCUCGCCUCUUGCGAACGACGACGCGAUUUAUACCAUUGUCUUUUCCAUGACAUAAUUACCGAAUUAAGCUAAAAAAUUACGAUAUUAUGUGCAAAAAUUUUGUUGCGCUGUGAUAAAGCUACUCGUACGGUUAAAGCUUUACGAUUCUAUUAACC